UACGUAGGGACCAAGCGUUGUUCGGAUUUACUGGGCGUAAAGGGCGCGUAGGCGGCUUGACAAGUCACUUGUGAAAUCUCCGGGCUUAACUCGGAACGGCCAAGUGAAACUGUCAUGCUAGAGUGCAGAAGGGGCAAUCGGAAUUCUUGGUGUAGCGGUGAAAUGCGUAGAUAUCAAGAGGAACAUCUGAGGUGAAGACGGGUUGCUGGGCUGACACUGACGCUGAGGCGCGAAAGCCAGGGGAGCAAACGGG
rnacentral:rRNA from 1 species